ACGGCUCAGUAACACGUAGACAACCUACCCUAUGGAGGGGGAUAACCCCGGGAAACUGGGGAUAAUACCCCAUAGACUAUGAAUGCUGGAAUGCUUUGUAGUUGAAAGGUCCGCCGCCAUAGGAUGGGUCUGCGGCCGAUUAGGUUGUUGUUGGGGUAACGGCCCAACAAGCCUGUAAUCGGUACGGGUUGUGGGAGCAAGAGCCCGGAGAUGGAUUCUGAGACACGAAUCCAGGCCCUACGGGGCGCAGCAGGCGCGAAAACUUUACAAUGCGGGAAACCGUGAUAAGGGAACUCCGAGUGCCCGUAAAAUCGGGCUGUCCAUCUGUUUAAAUAACAGGUGAAGAAAGGGCCGGGCAAGACCGGUGCCAGCCGCCGCGGUAAUACCGGCGGCUCGAGUGGUGGCCACUAUUACUGGGCUUAAAGCGUUCGUAGCUGGUCUGUUAAGUCUCUGGGGAAAUCUACUGGCUUAACCAAUAGGCGUUUCAGGGAUACUGGCAGACUAGGGACCGGGAGAGGUGAGGGGUACUCCAGGGGUAGGAGUGAAAUCCUGUAAUCCUUGGGGGACCACCUGUGGCGAAGGCGCCUCACCAGAACGGCUCCGACAGUGAGGGACGAAAGCUGGGGGAGCAAACCGGAUUAGAUACCCGGGUAGUCCCAGCUGUAAACGAUGCAGACUCGGUGAUGGACUAGCUUUAUGCUAGUCCAGUGCCGCAGGGAAGCCGUUAAGUCUGCCGCCUGGGUAGUACGGUCGCAAGACUGAAACUUAAAGGAAUUGGCGGGGGAG
rnacentral:rRNA from 1 species